AACUCAUGGUGAGGGCACCGUCUCAAUAGAUCCUUGUAUCUCUCCUAUGCAUCACAUAAAGUCUCUAAAUUGAUCUGCACAAAAGAGAAGAUGUCAUUCCUCAACUU
rnacentral:snoRNA from 1 species